rnacentral:rRNA from 1 species
CAGCCGCCGCGGGAAUACGUAGGGUCCGAGCGUUGUCCGGAAUUAUUGGGCGUAAAGGGCUCGUAGGCGGUUUGUUGCGUCGGGAGUGAAAUCCUACAGCUUAACUGUGGGCUUGCUUUCGAUACGGGCAGACUGGAGGCAUUCAGGGGAGAACGGAAUUCCUGGUGUAGCGGUGAAAUGCGCAGAUAUCAGGAGGAACACCGGUGGCGAAGGCGGUUCUCUGGGAAUGUCCUGACGCUGAGGAGCGAAAGUGUGGGGAGCGAACAGGAUUAGAUACCCCCGUAGUCCCUGUCUCUUAUAA